CUACAGGACCCUCACCGUCUUCGUCGCAUCUGCUUUCUUUGCAUCCAAUCUAGAGGUCUCAAGUCGAAGACAUGGACGGCUUGCUCGGGAAAUACAUCUUCAGGAUGGUUGCUGCCGUACUCGCUACGCUGAUUAUGGCCCCAAAUGAAGCUGGGGCAAUUCCACCUUUUCUCUGGCCCACGGGACGAAAUGAAGACAAUGUCGAGUAACGAAGCAUCAGUCUUCGGGAUACAAUGGUGCUGGUUCGCGUUCCCUUGACGACACCUGCUACGUAACUAAAUAAAAUGAAUGAAGCAAAAAUACCCUGGAAUGAAUAAACAGGACAUUAUUGGCGACAAACUCACUUUUCUACCUAGUGUCACAUUUUUUUUUAUUUCCUUUCGCGUAAUCGCCCUUAGGCGCUGCUAUACAUAUAUUUCUCAAGCUGUUCCUUGGUCGCAUGAUGCUCAAGAGCCUUUCUUACAAUAUUUCGUGUUAAACAUGAAGAAAGGGCGUCAACCGAGGGUCCCGAUGUUUAUUUGUCAUAUCAUAGGAAGCCAACAUGCACUGACACCAAAAUACACGGAGGGGAAAUUACUUGUGCUUACAAAAAAAAAAAUAAAGAUGCGGUAAAUAAAUGGAAAUGAAGGUGGAUGAGGAAACAAGUGGCCGCAGGUGGGGAAUGAUCCCACAACCUCCGGAUUUCGCGUGAGAUGCUCUACCAAUUGAGCUACUGCGGCCCCAUUUCCCCAUCCACUUUCUUGGGUAUUUAUGUGUCCUGG